rnacentral:lncRNA from 1 species
GGGUGAUGUUAUAUUUUAUCCAAAGACAUGUUUAUGAUUGUGGCGACAAAUUAAGUUACUGUAAAGGUUUGGUCAACAUUGUUUGUCAUGCCAUAUCUCUUCAAGCAAAGGAAACCUGGAAAUGUAGGUUUAAUGACUCAUUCAGGGGAUGACAAAACUCCCUAAAUUUGUGGUUCCUUUCAGUUUUACUCUAAGCUUGUGUUAAAUACUAAGACCAAUUCAUUCUUCAUAUGUAUCAACAGAAUUUUAUUUUUGCUUAUCUUCAUUCCCUAAUUCAAGUAUAAAUUGUAUAUCCUCUUAUCCUUGGUUUGACAGAGUCCAGCUUUGUUACUGUUUGGAAAUAGUGGGCAAUUUCUCUAUUUAUACUGAUGUUUAUGUCUUGGCAAUAGAAGAGAUAGUAACUGGAGACAUUUAGACUUAUUUGGGUCAGAGAGAAUUUAUUGAUUCUUUGGUAUGUUUAAUUAUGAUAAUAAUUUAAAACAACCUACAAAUCUAGAGGAGUCAUUCUUUUAAAAUAUACUGAUUAUAAUUUUCUAAACAUUAUUUUACUUUCUCAACUAGCUAC